UCAUCCACAGCACUCAUGCUAUUUAUAUUCAUUAUCUGAUUUGCAUGAACCUAUCAGAGGGCUGGGGAGGCGGAGUCAGCAGCUACCCGAGGCUUGUCAGGAGGAGGAGGGAGGAGUCAGAUGGGAAGCAGAGAGAGUGAGCCUGAAGGGGAGGUCAGUCUGUGGUCCUUAGAGAGGGUGGCAGAGUUAGGGGUUAAGAGUGUGGAACUUACGGAGAGCGAAAAGAGUUAAGAGUGAAACAAGUUAUUAAUAAUCUAAUGAAUGCAUUAAAGUCUGUGAAGAACCCGUUUAAGCCAACUGUAAUCCAUAAACCUCUGUUGUUCAACUUUAUCCUCAGCUUGGACCUCAAUCUUUCUAAUUAAAGGGUGUCGACAGAGGUCAGCGGGUGGCAGCGAGAUAAAGGACGUGUGAGCUCUGUGUUGGGUGAAACAAGCAGGGGCCAUGAGGUUUCACUGUGCCUGGAGGUUUGUAGCACCACCACCAUCGCUAUGGCAACCCGCGUUCCAGUUUAUGUAUUUUUCGCAUUACGUAAUGUCCUGGAGGACACAUUGGUUUUGUAACCCGAGGUACUACUGUAAUAUGCAGCCUUUAGAAUUUGUAAUAUUUAAUUUAGCUGGGGUCAAAUACCUUCUGAAUUUCAAUGUUUAAAUUUUUGCUUUUAUUCUCACAGUUGUGAUUUAACAAAUUCUUCCCUCCCCUCUUUCCAUAGACAUUGGUUUAAGUUCCUAGCUCUGGAGCCAGAAAUUGGGAGUUCACUUACCUUCUAGCUUUGCAGUUCUAAGAUUAUAUUAACUAAGUACAGUGGUGCCUCGCAUAGCGAGGUUAAUCCGUUCCGGAUUAACCUUCGCUAUGCUGAAGCAUCGUUAAACGGGACAGAAAAGCCCAUUGGAACGCAUUAAACAUCGUUUAAUGCGUUCCAAAUGGGCCAAAUACUCACCGUUCAACGAAGCUUCGUAAUGGCCGGCAGCCAUUUUCGCACCCUCGCCUCGCUUAACGAGGGCACGAAAACGCUGCACGCGGCCAUUUUGGGUCAUUUCCGGCCAUUUCCGCGCUUCCGGCGGCCAUUUUGGCCGCCGAACAGCUGAUUGUCGGGCUUCGUUUUGCGAAGAUCGGUAAGCGAAACGCUUACCGGUCUUCGCAAAGCGAAUUGAGCCCUAUUCAAAAGACGUUAAGCGAUCGCAUUAGCGAUCUGAAAAAACGGAUCGCUAUGCGAUUUCGUCGUUAUGCGGUGCGCUCGUUAAGCGAGGCACCACUGUAUCUAUUUCCCUGACCAUCUUUGCUUCCUAUCCUGCUUUCAGAAAUUCCUGAUGAUGACCUGUAAUAGCAUUUUAUAAACUCUACAUGCCAUCCCUUUCGUGGACCUUUCCUUUCUCUUCGCCCUCUGAAUAAUAAUCUCUGCAGAGUUUGUCAGUUCCCAGCAUCUACCACUUUCUCUUUUCCAGUUCUCGAGUCUAAUUAUCUGCAUUCAUCCACUUUUACACUUCCUUUCUAACACUGUCCUUUCACCCCCUUGUUAUUCAUUUUUGCUUUAAAAAUCCUUUAAUUAAAUUAUUUGUUUCCUCUUUAAUCAACUUUGAGAAAUUCCUUUCUAAUUUUCUGGAAAAAUAAGUACAAUCAUUGGGGAGAAUUUGAGAAGAAAAAAAGUUAA
rnacentral:lncRNA from 1 species